rnacentral:lncRNA from 1 species
UUUUUUUUUUUUUUUAUUAUGUUGCAUUUGGCCGUUUCAAUAGAUAUACAAAUGAAGUUGUGAUAUGAUUGACAAUGAGACAACUCUCUACAAGAUACAAAAUGAAACAGAAAUAAACAACUAUAGUCACCGAACGGCCUUCAACAAUGGGCAAAGCCCAUACCGCAUAGUCAUGUAUAAAAGGCCCCGAAAUGACGACUGUAAAACAAUUGAAACGAGAAACGAAAAAGUUUAUGUACAAAAAAUAAACGAAAAACAAAUAUGUAACACCUCAACAAACGACAACAACUAAAUUACAGACUCCUGACUUGGGACAGGCAUAUACAUACAUGAUGUGGCGGGGUUAAACAUGCAUGUAAGCGGGAUCUCACCUCCCCUAAACCCGGAACAGUGGUGUAAUAGUAAAACAUAAGAACGAUCUAAAAAAAUCAGUUGAAAGGGUUAACUCAUCAGAUGGAUACAAAUAGAAAUACAUCUAACAAAAAACCAGAGUGAACGUGGCAGGGUACUUGUAUAUCC